AUACGGAGGAUCCGAGCGUUAUCCGGAUUUAUUGGGUUUAAAGGGUGCGCAGGCGGCCAUUUAAGUCAGCGGUUAAAUCGUGGGGCUCAACCCCAUUCUGCCGUUGAUACUGGGUGGCUUGAUUGCGGUCGAGGUUGGCGGAAUUCGUUGUGUAGCGGUGAAAUGCAUAGAUAUGACGAAGAACACCGAUUGCGUAGGCAGCUGACCAGACCGCAAAUGACGCUCAUGCACGAAAGUGCGGGGAUCGAACAGGAGUAGAUGCCCUGGUAGUCCGCACAGUAAACGAUGAAUACUUGUUUUCGGCGAUAUAAUGUCGGAGGCAAAGCGAAAGCGAUAAGUAUUCCACCUGGGGAGUACGCCGGCAACGGUGAAACUCAAAGGAAUUGACGGGG
rnacentral:rRNA from 1 species